rnacentral:piRNA from 1 species
UUUUGGCUGAAACAUGAAAAU